GACGUAGGGGACGAGCGUUGUCCGGAUUCAUUGGGCGUAAAGCGCGUGUAGGCGGCCCGGUAAGUCCGCUGUGAAAGUCGGGGGCUCAACCCUCGAAUGCCGGUGGAUACUGUCGGGCUAGAGUACGGAAGAGGCGAGUGGAAUUCCUGGUGUAGCGGUGAAAUGCGCAGAUAUCAGGAGGAACACCCAUUGCGAAGGCAGCUCGCUGGGACGUUACUGACGCUGAGACGCGAAAGCGUGGGGAGCAAACAGG
rnacentral:rRNA from 1 species